GACGAACGCUGGCGGCGUGCUUAACACAUGCAAGUCGAACGGAAAGGCCCUGCUUUUGUGGGGUGCUCGAGUGGCGAACGGGUGAGUAACACGUGAGUAGCCUGCCCUUGACUUUGGGAUAACUUCAGGAAACUGGGGCUAAUACCGGAUAGGAGCUCCUGCUGCAUGGUGGGGGUUGGAAAGUUUCGGCGGUUGGGGAUGGACUCGCGGCUUAUCAGCUUGUUGGUGGGGUAGUGGCUUACCAAGGCUUUGACGGGUAGCCGGCCUGAGAGGGUGACCGGCCACAUUGGGACUGAGAUACGGCCCAGACUCCUACGGGAGGCAGCAGUGGGGAGUAUUGCACAGUGGGCGGAAGCCUGAUGCAGCAACGCCGCGUGCGGGAUGACGGCCUUCGGGUUGUAAACCGCUUUCGCCUGUGACGAAGCGUGAGUGACGGUAAUGGAUAAAGAAGCACCGGCUAACUACGUG
rnacentral:rRNA from 1 species